GACGAACGCUGGCGGCGUGCCUAAUACAUGCAAGUUGAGCGCUGAAGGUUGGUACUUGUACCAACUGGAUGAGCAGCGAACGGGUGAGUAACGCGUGGGGAAUCUGCCUUUGAGCGGGGGACAACAUUUGGAAACGAAUGCUAAUACCGCAUAAAAACUUUAAACACAAGUUUUAAGUUUGAAAGAUGCAAUUGCAUCACUCAAAGAUGAUCCCGCGUUGUAUUAGCUAGUUGGUGAGGUAAAGGCUCACCAAGGCGAUGAUACGUAGCCGACCUGAGAGGGUGAUCGGCCACAGUGGGACUGAGACACGGCCCAAACGCCUACGGGAGGCAGCAGUAGGGAAUCUUCGGCAAUGGACGAAAGUCUGACCGAGCAACGCCGCGUGAGUGAAGAAGGUUUUCGGAUCGUAAAACUCUGUUGGUAGAGAAGAACGUUGGUGAGAGUGGAAAGCUCAUCAAGUGACGGUAACUACCCAGAAAGGGACGGCUAACUACGUG
rnacentral:rRNA from 1 species